GGAUCAUCUCCAGUCUCUGCCACUGACUCCUCAAGAGAGACUCAUUGACAUACCUUUGCAUGAAGCAAUUCACUGCUUCUUGGAUCUCCCAUGAUUGUAUGAUUGAAGCUAUUUGGACCAUCACUGCAUGACUAUUUGGACCAUCAUUGCAUGGCUAUUUGGACCAUCAUUGCAUGGCUAUUUGGACCAUUGUUGCAUGGCUAUUUGGAUCAUCGUUGCAUGGCUAUUUGGAUCAUCGUUGCAUGACUUUUUGGACCAUCGUUGCAUGACUAUUUGGACCAUUGUUGCCCAGCUAUUUGGACCACCAUCAUGGCCAUGGUUUCUCCUCCAAGCAGGGAGACGUUGAUACAAGAAUCACAGGCGAUGGAGGGCAUCUGAGGCCUGAUUUACCUGCAGUGAUAUUCCAUGCCAGUGAGUGCUAUUGAAGUGCAUUCAUCUUAUCUGCCCCUGAAGGGACUGUGGGGUUAACCUACUGCAGAUCAAACACAGCUAUUGUGCAAACAGGCAAAGUAUUUCCUGGCUAUCUUCACCUCUAGUUGCUGGGUAACAUCAAACACUCACAUACUCGCACUUGAUGAGCUAUCCAGGCCCCACCAACCCAUCUCCACUGCUGCUGUGGGAAAGGGCAUGGAGAAAGAGGUGGAAAUACACAGUCCGUAGUGGAAAAACAGCUCUGCAAGUUCUCCCUUUGUUAUUUUGGCAAAAUAACAAAGCCCGAGGGGACACUUGCAAUCAACUCUCUGCACCCUUACUGGAGGCACAAAGGCUUGGAGAAAGAACGAGGAAGAAAGCGCCUUAAUGAAAACAUUCUCAGGACAAACACAGGAAAACACAGCUCUCCCUCCUGUUUGUCCUGCAUUCCCCGAGUAUCUGAACAAGCAAAACAAUUGUGUGUCCCCCGCCACGCUUCCUUCCCCUGGCCUGGCGCUGGUUGGAUGCUGCGGGCAUUGGGAUUUACCCAUGCGCGGACAGACAGACAGCAUAGCGUUGGUAGGAGACUUCUAGAUAAUGCUGGCCAUGCUUCUUGGCCUUGUUUUCUUCUGCGAAAUGGAGGUUGCAACACCAACCUGCAGGCCUUGCUCCAUCCCAGUGUGGCAUUGGUUCCGUCACGGAUUUAUGAGAUGUUUGUUGCUCUUCUCCAAAAUCUGACUAUGGAAGCAUCCCGGAGCACUGGG
ensembl:lncRNA